AAACAUGUCUUCUGGAAUUCUCUGAGAGAGUCGACUCCGCUCUUUUAGGGGACGUCUCCGCUGCUUUGUCACGAAAAAGACAUUCUCUGGAAAACCCUGAGAGAGCCGACUCCGCUACACUGGGGACGAUUCGGAAACUCAGCUUUUUAACUUGCGGGGACGACUCCGCGUACUGUGGGGACGGCUCGCGCGUAUCACUUGAAAUCUGCCUUUCUGCCGCCACUGAGAGAGUCGACUCCGCUACUGAGAGAGUCGACUCCGACCCUGCGAGACGCCUCGCCAGGUGCCGGGGACGUCUCCAAGUGUGCCAGUUCUUCCUGUUUGUGCCAGAGACGUCUCUGAGACUAUCCGGAGAUGUCUCGGCUGUCCCUGAUCUGUUUUCUUCAUCUCAAAAAUUCUUCAAUAAAUCCUUAAAAAUUAUGGGAACUUGCCUAGACAUUUCUUAACAAUAUUCUUAAUAAAACACAUGAAUUCCUCAAUUAAAUUGUUAAGAUAAAUGGAAUUAUACUCUAGUGUUUUGUAUUCAUCAAAAUCCAUUAGGGGGUCAACA
rnacentral:lncRNA from 1 species